rnacentral:rRNA from 1 species
UAAUACGGAGGGUGCGAGCGUUAAUCGGAAUUACUGGGCGUAAAGCGCACGUAGGCGGUCAGGCAAGUCGGGUGUGAAAGCCCUGGGCUCAACCUGGGAAUUGCAUUCGAAACUAUCUGACUCGAGUAUGGGAGAGGGAAGCGGAAUUUCCGGUGUAGCGGUGAAAUGCGUAGAUAUCGGAAGGAACACCAGUGGCGA